rnacentral:rRNA from 1 species
GAUGAACGCUGGCGGCGUGCCUAAUACAUGCAAGUCGAGCGAACAGACGAGGAGCUUGCUCCUCUGACGUUAGCGGCGGACGGGUGAGUAACACGUGGAUAACCUACCUAUAAGACUGGGAUAACUUCGGGAAACCGGAGCUAAUACCGGAUAAUAUAUUGAACCGCAUGGUUCAGUAGUGAAAGACGGUUUUGCUGUCACUUAUAGAUGGAUCCGCGCCGCAUUAGCUAGUUGGUAAGGUAACGGCUUACCAAGGCAACGAUGCGUAGCCGACCUGAGAGGGUGAUCGGCCACACUGGAACUGAGACACGGUCCAGACUCCUACGGGAGGCAGCAGUAGGGAAUCUUCCGCAAUGGGCGAAAGCUUGACGGAGCAACGCCGCGUGAGUGAUGAAGGUCUUCGGAUCGUAAAACUCUGUUAUUAGGGAAGAACAAAUGUGUAAGUAACUAUGCACGUCUUGACGGUACCUAAUCAGAAAGCCACGGCUAACUACGUG